ACAUCCAGCGAAUUCGGUAGAGAUACCUUAGUGCCUUCGGGAACGCUGAGACAGGUGCUGCAUGGCUGUCGUCAGCUCGUGUUGUGAAAUGUUGGGUUAAGUCCCGCAACGAGCGCAACCCUUAUCCCUUGUUGCCAGCGGUCCGGCCGGGAACUCAAAGGAGACUGCCAGUGAUAAACUGGAGGAAGGUGGGGAUGACGUCAAGUCAUCAUGGCCCUUACGAGUAGGGCUACACACGUGCUACAAUGGCGCAUACAAAGAGAAGCGACCUCGCGAGAGCAAGCGGACCUCAUAAAGUGCGUCGUAGUCCGGAUUGGAGUCUGCAACUCGACUCCAUGAAGUCGGAAUCGCUAGUAAUCGUAGAUCAGAAUGCUACGGUGAAUACGUUCCCGGGCCUUGUACACACCGCCCGUCACACCAUGGGAGUGGGUUGCAAAAGAAGUAGGUAGCUUAACCUUCGGGAGGGCGCUUACCACUUUGUGAUUCAUGACUGGGGUGAAGUCGUAACAAGGUAAGCGUAGCGAG
rnacentral:rRNA from 1 species